GAACUGUAGAGUUUGAUCCUGGCUCAGAUUGAACGCUGGCGGCAUGCCUUACACAUGCAAGUCGAACGGUAACAGGUUAAGCUGACGAGUGGCGAACGGGUGAGUAAUGUAUCGGAACGUGCCCAGUCGUGGGGGAUAACUGCUCGAAAGAGCAGCUAAUACC
rnacentral:rRNA from 1 species